rnacentral:pre_miRNA from 14 species
UUUUGUAACAAUCCAUAUUGUGAAAGACCCCCGGAGUGGGGAGACCCUCACUCAAGUCUCGGGAUGAUGCGACCCCCCAAGAACUCACACUAGACC